UACGGAGGGUGCAAGCGUUAUCCGGAAUCACUGGGUUUAAAGGGUGCGUAGGCGGCUUAGUAAGUCAGUGGUGAAAGACUGUGGCUUAACCAUGGAAUUGCCAUUGAUACUGCUGAGCUUGAAUCAGGUUGAGGUUGGCGGAAUGUGACAUGUAGCGGUGAAAUGCUUAGAUAUGUCACGGAACACCGAUUGCGAAGGCAGCUGACUGGACCUGUAUUGACGCUGAGGCACGAAAGCGUGGGGAGCAAACAGG
rnacentral:rRNA from 1 species